rnacentral:rRNA from 1 species
GACGAACGCUGGCGGCGCGCUUAACACAUGCAAGUCGAGCGAGAACCAGGGCUUCGGCCCUGGGGAAAGCGGCGAACGGGUGAGUAACACGUGGGUAAUCAACCGUCGGUUCUGGGAUAGCCCGGGGAAACCCGGAUUAAUACCGGAUAGCCUCUUUGGUCUUCGGACCGUCGAGAAAAGGUAGCUUCGGCCUCCGACCGAUGACGAGCCCGCGGCGGAUUAGCUUGUUGGCGGGGUAACGGCCCACCAAGGCGACGAUCCGUAGCUGGUCUGAGAG